rnacentral:tRNA from 1 species
GCGCCUGUAGCUCAGCUGGAUAGAGCAACGGACUUCUAAUCCGUAGGUCGUAGGUUCGACUCCUACCAGGCGUGCCA